CUUGUAUGCACCGUGUAUAACUUCAACACUCCGACACACACUUUCACAGUGCGAUCUGGACUCUACUUUGAACAGAUUAUCGGACCGGUAUCGUUAAUCAUGGAUUUGAAAUACUUGGCGGUUAUGGUUGUGCUCGCUGUGGCGACAUACGCUCCUUUCUCACAAGGGUUGUCAACAGAUUUAUUGGAGCCUGGUGGAGAUAGAUGCAAACCUACCAGCAGGACAUUCCUCUGCAUCCAGGUUGAGGCUUGCUACCAGCAGGAACAUGGAGCACUCUGUGUCACUAAACCAAUCAGUCUGGUGGAGAGGUGUUGGUGUCGUUCUACAGUUAACACCGUCCCCCAGCGUAACAUCCGAGAACUGAAGUUCCUGCACACACCCAACUGCCCCUUCCAAGUGAUUGCCAAGCUGAAGAACCACAAGGAGGUUUGUAUCAAUCCCGAAACCAAGUGGCUGCAGCAGUACCUGAAGAAUGCCCUCAACAAGAUGAAGACAUCCAAGCAGACCAACUAGAAAGCCUGCAGGAAGACCUACCAACAGACAUGUAACAUGAGACGUGUAGGUUGUAAUAUGUAACAUUUACUCUCCCAUCACGCACGCUGAACAGCACUUAUCCUGUCCAUCGCGGAACCAUCCAACCCACGGCUUUCCAAAACCACCACCACUGGCACCCCUUAUAGACUCCACCCCUGCUAGCGCCAAGUGCAAUUAUAUCUGUUCUUCCCGGUUUUGACCUUUGCCUGUUUUUUCUGGACUCCGUACCUGCCUGCCCCUUCUGCCUGCUCUGUCAUCGAGCCUGUCUGCCACUCUUUACCUCUUGGAUUCAGAAUCUGGUUUUGACCUGAAAGACCGGAAAAUAGCUGUGCAGCGACGCUCCCCAUCCAACCUGACAGAGCUUGAGAGGAUCUGCAGAGAAAAAUGGGAGAAACUCUCCAAAUACGGGUGUGCCAAUACCCAAGAAGACUCUAGGAUGUAAUUGCUGUCAAAACUGCUUCAAGAAUAUACUGAGUAAAGCGUCUGAAUACUUAUGUUAAUGUGAUAUUUCAACAAAAAAUGUUUUGGUAUAUUUGCAAAAAUGCUUGAAAAACCUGUUUUUGCUUUGUCAUUAUGGAUUAUUGUGUGUAGAUUGAGGG